rnacentral:rRNA from 1 species
CCUACGGGUGGCAGCAGUGGGGAAUAUUGCACAAUGGGGGAAACCCUGAUGCAGCGACGCCGCGUGAGUGAAGAAGCGUUUCGGCGCGUAAAGCUCUGUCAGCGGGGAAGAAACACGGUUCGCGAGAGCCGCGGACGGUACCCGACCAAGAAGCCCCGGCUAACUACGUGCCAGCAGCCGCGGUAAUACGGAGGAUGCGAGCGUUAUCCGGAUUUAUUGGGUUUAAAGGGUGCGCAGGCGGCGAGUUAAGUCAGCGGUAAAAUUUCGGGGCUCAACCCCGACAAGCCGUUGAAACUGGCUUGCUAGAGUGGGCGAGAAGUAUGCGGAAUGCGUGGUGUAGCGGUGAAAUGCAUAGAUAUCACGCAGAACUCCGAUUGCGAAGGCAGCAUACCGGCGCCCAACUGACGCUCAGGCACGAAAGCGUGGGUAUCGAACAGGAUUAGAUACCCGAGUAGUC